AGUACAUUUCUUGGUACGCUAAGCUGGUGUUACUUAAGUGUAAAGUCUUCUACGUAUACGGGUUGAACAGGGAAGAAGGAGGCAUAGUUGGUUUAGAGAGGACUGUCACCUAAGUGCAGUGGCCCUUCGUAAAAGAAGGAGUUGGAAGUAUUCCCACUGAGUUCUGAGACCGUGAGAGAGGGCUGUUUCUGUGCCCAGACUUAUGCUCCCCAUCACAGUACAGUGCCAUCACAGAGGAGAGUCAUCACACUGUGCUUCUCAGGCCUGUGAUUUUCAAGUGCACAGUUCCCAGUGCCAGUGAGUGGAGCUGUGUAAGCAGGGAUUCACAAGCUGUCACCCGGAGCUACAUUCACACAAGCACUAAUAUCAUUCAUUUCCCCUGUGAUGCUGUGAGAAGUGCAAGCAAGGAAAAAAUAGAGUAUUCUGGUGCAGUCUGUUCACUGGCCACCUUCUUGGGAGUCAAAUUAUCUUAAUGUAUCAAUAAAAUCUGAGUGAGUCUUCAUUCUUGGAUGUUCAGAAGGAAAGAAGUUCUAUGUCCUGCAGGGAUGGCCAAGUCCUUUCUUUCUGAUACUUCAUUACAGAUCUCAGAGCUCGACUUCUGGACAAGAUAAUGAUGGGAACAUUUCUGAAGAAGGGAACGACCUCUGGCUUUGGAAAGAAACAGCGAAGAAAAAAUCCAGAGCUUCCAGUCUACUGUCUUGAAGCACCUCCUCCAGACUGUCAGCUCCUACGUGCUGACAAGGUGUUGAACAUAGUGUAUGCCAGCUUUCAUUUACUCCAUUCUUAGGCACCCAAUUUUAUGAAAUGAUAAACACUGGACAAAGAGAGUAUGAAUAGCGUGACUAUUUCAAUACUUAACUUUGCAAAGCUUAGCGCUUACUUUUAGACUUAGGUAGCCACUAAGAGCAGAUGUAAUACAAUACAGCAAUUUUGGUGCCACAGCAUUUGCUGGAAGGUGGAUAUUUAAAAAUAAAAUGCAUUCAUGUUC
rnacentral:lncRNA from 7 species